GGCUCAGGAUGAACGCUAGCGGCAGGCUUAAUACAUGCAAGUCGAGGGGUAGCAGGGUAGCAAUACCGCUGACGACCGGCAAACGGGUGCGGAACACGUACACAACCUUCCUUUUAGUGGGGAAUAGCCCAGAGAAAUUUGGAUUAAUACCCCGUAAGAUAUUAGACCGGCAUCGGUUAGAUAUUAUAGGUUUACCGCUAAGAGAUGGGUGUGCGGCUGAUUAGGUAGUUGGCGGAGUAACAGCCCACCAAGCCAACGAUCAGUAGCUGAUGUGAGAGCAUGAUCAGCCACACGGGCACUGAGACACGGGCCCGACUCCUACGGGAGGCAGCAGUAAGGAAUAUUGGACAAUGGACGCAAGUCUGAUCCAGCCAUGCCGCGUGAAGGAUUAAGGCCCUCUGGGUUGUAAACUUCUUUUAUAGGGGACGAAAAAAGGGCUUUCUAGCUCGACUGACGGUACCCUAUGAAUAAGCACCGGCUAACUCCGUGCCAGCAGCCGCGGUAAUACGGAGGGUGCAAGCGUUAUCCGGAUUCACUGGGUUUAAAGGGUGCGUAGGCGGGCAUUUAAGUCAGUGGUGAAAUCUUCGAGCUCAACUCGGAAACUGCCAUUGAUACUAUUUGUCUUGAAUAUUGCGGAGGUGAGCGGAAUAUGUCAUGUAGCGGUGAAAUGCUUAGAUAUGACAUAGAACACCAAUUGCGUAGGCAGCUCGCUACACAUAUAUUGACGCUGAGGCACGAAAGCGUGGGGAUCAAACAGGAUUAGAUACCCUGGUAGUCCACGCCCUAAACUAUGAUUACUCGACAUAUGCGAUACACUGUAUGUGUCUGAGCGAAAGCAUUAAGUAAUCCACCUGGGAAGUACGAUCGCAAGAUUGAAACU
rnacentral:rRNA from 1 species